rnacentral:rRNA from 1 species
AAACUAACUAGGAUUCCCUUAGUAACGGCGAGUGAACCGGGAUGAGCUCAAAUUUAAAAUCUGGCGUCUUUCAGGCGUCCGAGUUGUAAUCUAUAGAGGCGUUUUCCGCGCCGGACCGCGUCCAAGUCUCUUGGAAUAGAGUAUCAAAGAGGGUGACAAUCCCGUACUUGACGCGACAACCGGUGCUCUGUGAUACGUUCUCAAUGAGUCGAGUUGUUUGGGAAUGCAGCUCUAAAUGGGUGGUAAAUUCCAUCUAAGGCUAAAUAUUGGCGAGAGACCGAUAGCGAACAAGUACCGUGAGGGAAAGAUGAAAAGCACUUUGGAAAGAGAGUUAAACAGCACGUGAAAUUGUUAAAAGGGAAACGAUUGAAGUCAGUCGUGUGAAAGGUAUUCAGCCGUCUCUGGCGGUGUAUUUGCCUUUCACGGGUCAACAUCAGUUUGAUCCGGUAGAAAAAGGCAGGAGGAAGGUGGCACCCUCGGGUGUGUUAUAGCCUCUUGUCAUAUGUGCCGGACCAGACUGAGGAACGCAGCUUGCCGCAAGGCCGGGGUUCGCCCACGUACAAGCUUAGGAUGUUGACAUAAUGGCUUUAAA